rnacentral:misc_RNA from 1 species
AGAAGGAGAAGAAGAAGAAGAAAGUGUUUGAAACAUGGGACACCAGGCUUGAUAACUUACCUGAGGAAUCUUUAAUGGAUAUUUUGACGGUGUUGGAGGAGAAGGAAGAGAUUUUGGAGGAAAGAAUAUUGCAGGUAGAUAAGUCUAAUUCCUAUCCUGAUUCUAAUAGUAAUACAGAAGAUGAUAACGAUGAUUUUAGGAUUUUAGCAAGAAAAUCCAACCAAGAAACCUUAGAGUUUUUGCAACUUUAGAUAUGUUGACAAGAACAACAAAUUGAUCAAGUUGUUUCCUUAAACCUUUUCUUUUUCUUUAAUUUUUAUUAUCAUUCUUGUAAUUUUUUCUUUUAAUUAUGUCUUAUAUUUU